GGGUUGUGAGGUUAAGCGACUAAGCGUACACGGUGGAUGCCCUGGCAGUCAGAGGCGAUGAAGGACGUGCUAAUCUGCGAUAAGCGUCGGUAAGGUGAUAUGAACCGUUAUAACCGGCGAUUUCCGAAUGGGGAAACCCAGUGUGUUUCGACACACUAUCAUUACGUGAAUACAUAGCGUAAUGAAGCGAACCGGGGGAACUGAAACAUCUAAGUACCCCGAGGAAAAGAAAUCAACCGAGAUUCCCCCAGUAGCGGCGAGCGAACGGGGAGCAGCCCAGAGUCUGAAUCAGCUUGUGUGUUAGUGGAACGGUCUGGAAAGUCCGACGGUACAGGGUGAUAGUCCCGUACAUCAAAAUGCACAGGUUGUGAACUCGAAGAGUAGGGCGGGACACGUGGUAUCCUGUCUGAAUAUGGGGGGACCAUCCUCCAAGGCUAAAUACUCCUGACUGACCGAUAGUGAACCAGUACCGUGAGGGAAAGGCGAAAAGAACCCCGGCGAGGGGAGUGAAAAAGAACCUGAAACCGUGUACGUACAAGCAGUGGGAGCCUCUUUAUGGGGUGACUGCGUACCUUUUGUAUAAUGGGUCAGCGACUUAUAUUCUGUAGCAAGGUUAACCGUAUAGGGGAGCCGAAGGGAAACCGAGUCUUAACUGGGCGUUAAGUUGCAGGGUAUAGACCCGAAACCCGGUGAUCUAGCCAUGGGCAGGUUGAAGGUUGGGUAACACUAACUGGAGGACCGAACCGACUAAUGUUGAAAAAUUAGCGGAUGACUUGUGGCUGGGGGUGAAAGGCCAAUCAAACCGGGAGAUAGCUGGUUCUCCCCGAAAGCUAUUUAGGUAGCGCCUCGUGAAUUCAUCUUCGGGGUAGAGCACUGUUUCGGCUAGGGGGUCAUCCCGACUUACCAACCCGAUGCAAACUGCGAAUACCGAAGAAUGUUAUCACGGGAGACACACGGCGGGUGCUAACGUCCGUCGUGAAGAGGGAAACAACCCAGACCGCCAGCUAAGGUCCCAAAGUCAUGGUUAAGUGGGAAACGAUGUGGGAAGGCACAGACAGCCAGGAUGUUGGCUUAGAAGCAGCCAUCAUUUAAAGAAAGCGUAAUAGCUCACUGGUCGAGUCGGCCUGCGCGGAAGAUGUAACGGGGCUAAACCAUGCACCGAAGCUGCGGCAGUGACACUAUGUGUUGUUGGGUAGGGGAGCGUUCUGUAAGCCGUUGAAGGUGUAUCGUGAGGUAUGCUGGAGGUAUCAGAAGUGCGAAUGCUGACAUAAGUAACGAUAAUGCGGGUGAAAAACCCGCACGCCGGAAGACCAAGGGUUCCUGUCCAACGUUAAUCGGGGCAGGGUGAGUCGACCCCUAAGGCGAGGCCGAAAGGCGUAGUCGAUGGGAAACAGGUUAAUAUUCCUGUACUUGGUGUUACUGCGAAGGGGGGACGGAGAAGGCUAUGUUAGCCGGGCGACGGUUGUCCCGGUUUAAGCAUGUAGGCGGAGGUUCCAGGUAAAUCCGGUACCUUUUUAACGCUGAGGUGUGAUGACGAGGCACUACGGUGCUGAAGUAACAAAUGCCCUGCUUCCAGGAAAAGCCUCUAAGCAUCAGGUAACACGAAAUCGUACCCCAAACCGACACAGGUGGUCAGGUAGAGAAUACCAAGGCGCUUGAGAGAACUCGGGUGAAGGAACUAGGCAAAAUGGUGCCGUAACUUCGGGAGAAGGCACGCUGAUAUGUAGGUGAAGCGGUUUACCCGUGGAGCUGAAAUCAGUCGAAGAUACCAGCUGGCUGCAACUGUUUAUUAAAAACACAGCACUGUGCAAACACGAAAGUGGACGUAUACGGUGUGACGCCUGCCCGGUGCCGGAAGGUUAAUUGAUGGGGUUAUCCGUAAGGAGAAGCUCUUGAUCGAAGCCCCGGUAAACGGCGGCCGUAACUAUAACGGUCCUAAGGUAGCGAAAUUCCUUGUCGGGUAAGUUCCGACCUGCACGAAUGGCGUAAUGAUGGCCAGGCUGUCUCCACCCGAGACUCAGUGAAAUUGAACUCGCUGUGAAGAUGCAGUGUACCCGCGGCAAGACGGAAAGACCCCGUGAACCUUUACUAUAGCUUGACACUGAACACUGGUCCUUGAUGUGUAGGAUAGGUGGGAGGCUUUGAAGUGUGGACGCCAGUCUGCAUGGAGCCAUCCUUGAAAUACCACCCUUUAAUGGCUGGUGUUCUAACGUGGACCCGUAAUCCGGGUUGCGGACAGUGUCUGGUGGGUAGUUUGACUGGGGCGGUCUCCUCCUAAAGAGUAACGGAGGAGCACGAAGGUUAGCUAAUCCUGGUCGGACAUCAGGAGGUUAGUGCAAAGGCAUAAGCUAGCUUGACUGCGAGAGUGACGGCUCGAGCAGGUGCGAAAGCAGGUCUUAGUGAUCCGGUGGUUCUGAAUGGAAGGGCCAUCGCUCAACGGAUAAAAGGUACUCCGGGGAUAACAGGCUGAUACCGCCCAAGAGUUCAUAUCGACGGCGGUGUUUGGCACCUCGAUGUCGGCUCAUCACAUCCUGGGGCUGAAGUAGGUCCCAAGGGUAUGGCUGUUCGCCAUUUAAAGUGGUACGCGAGCUGGGUUUAGAACGUCGUGAGACAGUUCGGUCCCUAUCUGCCGUGGGCGCUGGAGAAUUGAGGGGGGCUGCUCCUAGUACGAGAGGACCGGAGUGGACGCAUCACUGGUGUUCGGGUUGUCAUGCCAAUGGCAUUGCCCGGUAGCUAAAUGCGGAAGAGAUAAGUGCUGAAAGCAUCUAAGCACGAAACUUGCCCCGAGAUGAGUUCUCCCUGAGACUUUAAGUCUCCUGAAGGAACGUUGAAGACGACGACGUUGAUAGGUCGGAUGUGUAAGUGUAGCGAUACAUUGAGCUAACCGAUACUAAUGAACCGUGAGGCUUAACCUUACAACGCCGAAG
rnacentral:rRNA from 1 species